rnacentral:ncRNA from 3 species
UCCCUGAGACCCUAGCUUGUGA